rnacentral:rRNA from 1 species
UCUCAACUCGACCUGAUAUCAGGCAAGAUUACCCGCUGAACUUAAGCAUAUCAAUAAGCGGAGGA